rnacentral:rRNA from 1 species
GAUGAACGCUGGCGGCGUGCUUAACACAUGCAAGUCGAACGAAGCACUUUACCUGAUUUCCUUCGGGGAUGAUUGUUCUGUGACUGAGUGGCGGACGGGUGAGUAACGCGUGGAUAACCUGCCUCACACAGGGGGAUAACAGUUGGAAACGACUGCUAAUACCGCAUAAGCGCACAGCACCGCAUGGUGCAGUGUGAAAAACUCCGGUGGUGUGAGAUGGAUCCGCGUCUGAUUAGCUAGUUGGCGGGGUAACGGCCCACCAAGGCGACGAUCAGUAGCCGGCCUGAGAGGGCGACCGGCCACAUUGGGACUGAGACACGGCCCAGACUCCUACGGGAGGCAGCAGUGGGGAAUAUUGCACAAUGGGGGAAACCCUGAUGCAGCGACGCCGCGUGAGCGAUGAAGUAUUUCGGUAUGUAAAGCUCUAUCAGCAGGGAAGAUAAUGACGGUACCUGACUAAGAAGCUCCG